UACGAGUGGUGCAAGCGUUAUUCGGAAUCAUUGGGCGUAAAGGGUGUGUAGACGGCCUGCCAAGUCAACUGUUUAAUUCUCCGGCCUAACCGGAGUCCAGCGGUAGAAACUAGCGAGCUAGAGGGUGGAAGAGAGAAGUGGAAUUCUCGGAGUAGCGGUAAAAAUGCGUAGAUCUCGAGAGGAACACCAAUGGCGAAGGCAGCUUCUUGGUCCAUACCUGACGUUGAGACACGAAAGCGUGGGGAGCAAACAGG
rnacentral:rRNA from 1 species